rnacentral:rRNA from 1 species
GAUGAACGCUGGCGGCGUGCCUAAUACAUGCAAGUCGAGCGAACAGACGAGGAGCUUGCUCCUCUGACGUUAGCGGCGGACGGGUGAGUAACACGUGGAUAACCUACCUAUAAGACUGGGAUCACUUCGGGAAACCGGAGCUAAUACCGGAUAAUAUAUUGAACCGCAUGGUUCAAUAGUGAAAGACGGUUUUGCUGUCACUUAUAGAUGGAUCCCGGCCGCAUUAGCUAGUUGGUAAGGUAACGGCUUACCAAGGCAACGAUGCGUAGCCGACCUGAGAGGGUGAUCAGCCACACUGGAACUGAGACACGGUCCAGACUCCUACGGGAGGCAGCAGUAGGGAAUAUUGCGCAAUGGGCGAAAGCCUGACGGAGCAACGCCGCGUGAGUGAUGAAGGUCUUCGGAUCGUAAAACUCUGUUAUUAGGGAAGAACAAAUGUGUAAGUAACUAUGCACGUCUUGACGGUACCUAAUCAGAAAGCCACGGCUAACUACGUG